rnacentral:rRNA from 1 species
GGGAGGCAGCAGUAGGGAAUUUUGGACAAUGGGCGAAAGCCUGAUCCAGCAAUGCCGCGUGAGUGAUGAAGGCCUUCGGGUUGUAAAGCUCUUUUGGUAGGAACGAAACGGUCUGGGCUAAUACCCCGGACUAAUGACGGUACCUGCAGAAUAAGCACCGGCUAACUACGUGCCAGCAGCCGCGGUAAUACGUAGGGUGCAAGCGUUAAUCGGAAUUACUGGGCGUAAAGCGUGCGCAGGCGGUUUUGUAAGACCGAUGUGAAAUCCCCGGGCUUAACCUGGGAACUGCAUUGGUGACUGCAAGGCUAGAGUGUGUCAGAGGGAGGUGGAAUUCCGCGUGUAGCAGUGAAAUGCGUAGAGAUGCGGAGGAACACCGAUGGCGAAGGCAGCCUCCUGGGAUAACACUGACGCUCAUGCACGAAAGCGUGGGGAGCAAACAGGAUUAGAUACCCUGGUAGUCCACGCCCUAAACGAUGUCUACUAGUUGUCGGGGAUUAAUUUCCUUGGUAACGCAGCUAACGCGGGAAGUAGACCGCCUGGGGAGUACGGUCGCAAGAUUAAAACUCAAAUGAAUUGACGG